CUUGCACCUUUCAAGCGAGUGGCGAACGGGUGAGUAACACGUGGAUAACCUGCCUCAAGGCUGGGGAUAACAUUUGGAAACAGAUGCUAAUACCGAAUAAAACUUAGUAUCGCAUGAUACAAAGUUGAAAGGCGCUACGGCGUCACCUAGAGAUGGGUCCGCGGUGCAUUAGUUAGUUGGUGGGGUAAAGGCCUACCAAGACAAUGAUGCAUAGCCGAGUUGAGAGACUGAUCGGCCACAUUGGGACUGAGACACGGCCCAAACUCCUACGGGAGGCUGCAGUAGGGAAUCUUCCACAAUGGGCGAAAGCCUGAUGGAGCAACGCCGCGUGUGUGAUGAAGGCUUUAGGGUCGUAAAGCACUGUUGUAUGGGAAGAAAUGCUAGAAUAGGGAAUGAUUCUAGUUCGACGGUACCAUACCAGAAAGGGACGGCUAAAUACGUGCCAGCAGCCGCGGUAAUACGUAUGUCCCGAGCGUUAUCCGGAUUUAUUGGGCGUAAAGCGAGCGCAGACGGUUGAUUAAGUCUGAUGUGAAAGCCCGGAGCUCAACUCCGGAAUGGCAUUGGAAACUGGUUAACUUGAGUGUUGUAGAGGUAAGUGGAACUCCAUUGUUAAACGG
rnacentral:rRNA from 1 species